GGUUCAGCUGCCUCUCCUUAGAAAAACAAUCUGCAGCUGGCUGGUAUGAGACACCCUAAAUUUUCCCAGCUCAGAGCAUCCCAGAAACCUAUGCAAAAUUUCCUCCACAAUUAUCUCUGGCUGAACCAUUUUGCUUUGGCUAACCUUACCUGUUUUGGGCAGACUGAAUCUUCAAAAAAGUAGCAGUGAAUGUACCAGACAGGCUUCCUUAAGCAGCAUCCCUUUUAACACUUAUUUCAUCUCACUGCAAACAGAACCUUUGUACCUUGGAUAAAUUCAAUAACUGUAACUCAUUCGCCAGCCCAUACUAUGCUGUCUAUUGUUUCAUCUUGCUUAUUAAAAAUCAGCACAAGCUAUUUGAUGAGUGGUGGAGACAUUGAUUCCAAGCUAUCCAAACUCUGGCAAAGUGGAGAACGGAGUGCUGGAAGCCUGAAAGAAGCUGUCAUUAUCAUUAGAGCCUGACACACGUCAAUCGAAGCCUCCUUUUUAAGCAUGAGCAAGCACUUCCUUUGUCAUCUCUUCCACCGGUGACCUGCUGGAGGCAGCUUUCAGAAACAAUGCAGACACCUUUCAACUUUCUGUUUAUUAUUUAUCCAAUGGGGAGAGCAGCUAAGAACUACCACCUUCUGCUUUCAUUAAAAGGAUUGCUUUUU